rnacentral:rRNA from 1 species
UUUUUAGCCUUAAAGUUGAUAGAGAUCGACUUAUUUACAAAUACGUCGCAUUAGUUGCUUUAUGCACUCCUGAGUGAGUGAUAGUGAAAUAGUAUCGUGAGGGAAGGGUGAAAAGAACCCUCAUCGGGGAGUGAAAUAGAAUAUGAAACUGUAAGCUUCCAAGCAGUGGGAGGAGACCAAGACUUUGACCGCGUGCCUGUUGAAGAACGAGCCGACGACUCAUAGGCGGUGGCUUGGUUAAGGGAACCCACCGGAGCUGUAGCGAAAGCGAGUUUUCAUGGGGCAAUUGUCACUGCUUAUAGACCUGAACUUGGGUGAACUAUCCAUGACUAGGAUGAAGCUUGGGUGAAACUAAGUGGAGGUUAAUCGACUGAUGUUGAAGAAUCAACGAAUGAGUUGUGGUUAGGGGUGAAAUGCCACUCGAACCUAGAGCUACUUGGUUCUCCCCAAAAUGCGUUGAGGCGCAGCAGUUGACUGGACAUCUAGGGGUAAAACACUGUUUCGAUGCGGGCCGCGAGAGCGGUACCAAAUCGAGUCAAACUCUGAAGAUUAGAUAUGAUCUCAAAAUAAUAGAGGUCAAGGUCGACCAAUGAGACGAUAGGGGAUAAGCUUCAUGUCGAAAGGGAAACAACUCGGAUCACCAGCUAAGACCCCUAAAUGACCGCUCAAUGAUAAAGGAGGUAGGGGUGCAGAGACAGCCAGGAGGUUUGCCUAAAAGCAGCCACCCUUGAAAGAGUGCGUAAUAGCUCACUGAUCGAGCACUCUUGCGCCAAAGAUGAACAGGGCUAAGCGAUCUAUCGAAGCUGUAGGAUGUCAAAAUGCAUCGGUAGGGGAGCGUUCCACUUUAGAGGGAAGCAACUGCGCGAGCAAUUGUGGACGAAGCGAAAGCGAGAAUGUCGGCUUGAGUAACGCAAACAUUGGUGAGAAUCCAAUACCCUAAAAACCUAAGAGUUCCUUUGCAAGGUUCGUCCACGGAGGGUGAGUUAGGGCCUAAGAUCAAGCCGAAAAACGUAGUUGGUAGACAACAUGUAAAUAUUCCUAUACUACCCCUUGUUGGUCCCGAGGGACGAAUGAGGCUAGGUUGGCCGAAAGAUGGUUAUUGGUUCAAGGAUGCAAGGUGCCCUUGUUUUUUUAAGGUAAAAAGGGGUAGAGAAAAUACUUCGAGCCAAUGUUCAAGUACCAGGCACUACAACGCUAAAGUAACCCAUGCCAUACUCUUAGGAAAAGCUCGAACGACCUUCAACAAAGGGUACCUGUACCCAAAACUGACACAUGUGGGUAGGUAGAGAAUACCUAGGGGCGCGAGAUAACUCUCUCUAAGGAACUCGGUAAAAUAGCCCUGUAACUUCGAGAGAAGAGGUGCCUCCUCACAAAGGGGGUCACAGUGACCAGGCCCGAGCAAUUAUUUACCCAAACACAGAUCUCCGCAAAGUCGUAAGACCAUGUAUGGGGGCUGACGCUUACCUAGUGCCGGAAGGUCAAGGAAGUUGGUGACCUGAAGACAUGGGAGCCGGCGACCGAAUCCCUGGUGAACGACGGUCGUAACUAUAACAGUCUUAAGGUAGCGAAAUUCCUUGUCGAGUAAGUUCCAACCCGUACGAAAGGCGUAACGAUCUGGACACUGUCUCGAAGAGAGGCUCGAUGAAAUAGACAUGUCUGUGAAGAUGCGGACUAUCUACACCUAGACAGAAAGACCCUAUGAAGCUUCACUCUUCCCUGGGAUUGGCUUUAGGCCUUUCAUGUGCAGCUUAGGUGGAAGGCGAAGAAGGCCCCCUUCCGGGGGGCCCGAGCCAUCAGUGAGAUACCACUCUGGAAGAGCUAGAAUUCUAACCUUGUGCCAUGACCUACGGGCCAAGGGACAGUCUCAGGUAGACAGUUUCUAUGGGGCGUAGGCUUCCCAAAAGGUAACAGAGGCGUGCAAAGGUUUCCUUGGGCCAGACGAAGAUUCACCAUCGAGUGCAAAGGUAUAAGGGAGCUUGACUGCAAGACCCACCCGUUGAGCAGGGACGAAAGUCGGCCUUAGUGAUAUGACAGUGUCGAGUGGAAGGGUCGUCGCUCAAUGAAUAAAAGUUACUCUAGGGAUAACGGGCUAAUCUUCCCCAAGAGCUCACAUCAACGGGAAGGUUUGACACCUUGAUGUCGGCUCUUUGCCACUUGGGGCUGUAGUAUGUUCCAUGGGUUGGGUUGUUCGCCCAUUAAAGCAGUACGUGAGUUGGAUUUAGAACGUCGUGAGACAGUUUGAUUCAUAUCCGGUGUGGGCAUUAGAGCAUUGAAAGGACCUUUCCCUAGUAUGAGAGGAUCGAGAAGGACGUACCUCUGGUGUACCAGUCAUCGUGCCCACGGUAAAUGUUGGGUAGCCACGUGCGGAGCGGAUAACUGCUAAAAGCAUCUAAGUAGUAAGCCCACCACAAGAUGAGUGCUCUCCUAUUCCGACUUUCCAAGAGCCUCCUGUAGCAUAGCCGAGACAACGAUCGAUUCUUUACCCCUACGGGAAUAAAGCGACAAAAGUUUUGAGAAUUAUAUUUAAGAGAAGGUCACGACGAGAUGAGCUGUUUAUUAUCACGAUAGGUGUCAAGUGGAAGUGCAGUAAUGUAUGCAUCUAAGGCAUCCUAACAGACCAGUAGACUUGAACCU